GUGAAGCCAAGCGUCUGCAGGCUGGACGGGUCCUCCCCUCAGCCACUGUUCACGGGCGUUUCCUGCCUGCGGGAACUUCCUCCUCUUCCUAUUAGUCUGGACUAACUGGUGAGGGCCGCGGGGAGGCUGCAGGCAGCUGGCUCCGCCGAGCCCGUCCUCAGGAUUUGUCCUGCGCAGUCGCCCUCACCCUUCAAGGCAAGUCCGGGAUGAGGAGACUGCACCCCUGUGUCCCGCAGGGAGGCUCAGAGCUAGAGGCCUGUGGCUGAGGCCAGGGUCCCACCUGGUCGUCCUGCCCUGUGGACGUUGCGGGCUCCCCUCUUACGGAACGUGGCAGUCGGUUCUGGUUCACAGGAGACUUCGCGAGUCGCUGGUUGCGUUCCUACGGUUCAGUGACACCGGUUCCACCCAUCUGUCCACCAGGCCGGCUCCCUGUGGGCCUCAGAGGACCCCGAAGGCAGCAGGCAGAUUGAGGAGCCCGAUUCCCAGGCCCUGAAAUUUCCCGGCUGGGCAGCCUUCUUUUCCUUUACCCCCUCACCCGGGCACGGUCCCCGCUCCCCCUCUCUGGGGAGGGGCUCUCAGAGCUCAGGACCCUGGCUCCCUCCCUCGGGCUUCUCUCAGCCCUCCUUGCACCAACCGUGUGGACUCAACGGCUGUCCUGCCCAGGCCCAGCCUCUGUGGCCCUUGCUUGGUCCUUUUGCCCACGGGGGCAGGACCCUCCCCCUGUGGUCUUCAGCCUCAUUUAGUCGCCUGCUGCAGGCCCGACCCCAGCCCCUGGGCGUCCUGGGGCCCCACCCAGUCCUGCUGCUUUCUCCAGGAAGCCUGUGGGCCAGGUCCCAGCUGUGACACCUCCUCUCCCAAGGCUGUGCCUUCUUCCCCUUCUCUCUGGCAGGUUCCAGGCAGGUCUAGGCACGGCAGGCUCCUGGGGGCCAGGCCCGGCUCGCACGCCUUCGGAGCGCCCUUUCUUUGGAUCAACCGAAGCUUUCUGGACGAGCUCACGAAGACCCCGCGGCCUCUGAGAUCAUGGAGCCACUCAGGAUCCCACAGAAGACGUGGCUCCUUAUGAUAUCACACUGAAGUGACCUGAAGUGUUCGUCAGCUGCCUUCGCGAUCCCGAGCUGGGACAGCGUGUACUGAGGUGAGGUGCCGGCUCCCAGGGAGCCGCCCACGUUUCCUGUCUAGGGAGAGCCUCAGUUUGCAGAUGACCCUGGGGCUCUCCUCGGUGCCCCUGGGCGACGGCUCUUUCUCCCUCCAUAUCUCAUGACCAUGCUCACUGGCUCCGCACGUAGCAAGCAGCAAAUCCUCUGUGUUUGCUUACAAGCGGAGACGGGAGGGUGGCUCGUGCGUGCGGUCACUUCCUGAAAUCCUAACCUGCUCCAAUGCCAAGGGCAAACAGCUUGGUUUGGAGUCUUUGUCACCCGAUUGUGGGCCGGAGGUCGGGGGUGGGAGAAAGGCACAGCGGUCCUCCCCGGCUUCCUCUUGCACCCCUGGCCUAUUGCACAGCCCCACAGUGAUCUGUUGGACCAAGGCGGACGUGGCUGUGAUAGACUGACAAGGUGGCUCAGGACUCCUGGCUCCUAUUGCACACACCUUACCCGCUAUUUGAACAAAACACAACCUGAACGCUGUCCUGAGGGCUUGCAGCUGACCUGAAGACAAGAUUUCAAGGGGCCCUCCUAGCGGUGGAGCCUUUGCGUCAAGGAAGUCAGAGAACGUGUCAAUCUGGGACAGCUGUCGGAGGUCACACAGACACAUCCGUCCAUCUCCACCCAGAGCAUGUCGGAGGCAAGCUGUUAGAGGUCUCUCAAACCUCUCUCCCCGUGCUCUGUCCUAAUCUGAGGAGGCACCAGCUAGGCCAACGCUGCCCUUCGGCUCUCCUCAGAAUUGGGCGGUUUCCACGGAUGAGUGAAGUCACAGGAACUUCAGACGCCCAGACACUUGGGGCAGCCAGGCCUGGAGGGGAGCAGGUCUGGGGAGGAGGUCUGACCACGGGCGUUUGGAUGGACAGUCGUGGUCUCCUCUUCCCUUUUGCCUCCUUUCUAUAAUCUUGAGUCCUCUCUUGUGACUCGGGAUGAAGCCAAGCUGGGCUCGCAGUCCUUGCUCGGAGGUGUGGGUCUCCAUGACAACGGGAAAUCACGCCACAAAGAGAAAAUUAGGGCUCCGUGGGAAUGGGGAGGUCAGGAAACCUCAAGGAGCUCGUUUUCAUUUAGAGCACCGUGGCGUGAAGGCGCAGCCUGUUCUUGGAGUCAAGAUCUACCCGAGGGACAAAGUGCAGAGAGCAGGGAACCAAGCAGCCGUCCUGGUCCUCUGCCUGCGAGCAGAUGGCUCUGCUUAAAGAAAGCAGCGUGGGGAGGCACUGGGCGUAGCUCUCGGAAUUUCUAAGACUCAGAGCAGAAGCCACGCCUACCGAGUUUGGAGGGAGCCCUUGCGUCGGUGAGAUCUUCUUGGCUUUCCCUCCAGUGGCAAGAUGGCUCCAGGCAUCACGUCCCCACGUGGCCCAGCAGCUUCUCUUCAGUCAGCCCUUCCUCACAGGUCCCGCCUCGAGCAGAGACAAGGCAGCUCCUGCUCUCAGGAAAGUGCAUUUGUACAGCUUCCCACUCGGGGCCUGUGGGCAGCUCCCGAGGAGAGCCCAGGCCCACGGCCGGCCCCAGUGCAGUCCUGGGGUGCUCAUCGCCAGUGGUGAAAGAGGAGGGACACAGCCGUGGCCCCUCCUGCCGUCCCCCUUGGGCGGCACUGGUCUGUCCACUCUGGGGCUAGGGAGCUGCUGGGGACCUGUCUCUCUGCUGACCCCACUGCCUGGUGGCAGGGUGUUCAAGGUGUCCUCUGGGAAGCCAGGUGCCUAGCCCGUCUCACCCUGCACCCUCUGGGCUGGGGCUGCAGCCUCCUGCUGGGGCUGGUGGCCGCUCUCCUGGGAUGUCCUGGAGGGACACUGCAGCAGCCAGGGCUCAGUCCCUGCCACGGUGCCUCUUUACUCGCAGUGCAGGCCGGGUCUGGGCGGGGGUGGCUGCUGGUCCUCGCCCCCCUGGGAACCGCUUUCCCAGUCCAGGCAGGAGUCGGAGCCCUGCAGGCCCUGCCGCUGUCCUCCUGGGCAGCCUGGGGACCAGGCCAGCUCCCUGGCGGAGGGUUGGUUCUCGUGGCCUGGGACCUGCAGGCAGCCAGCCCUCUCCUGGUGCGCCCGGCUCCGGAACGGCCCUCCUGUCCUCGGGGGCAAGGAGGCGAGAACAUUUGAAUCCUCACACACUAUUUUCCGAGAAGUGCAUACUGUCUGAAAAGGUCAGGAAGCAUGUCGUGCGCCGAGCUGUUCACCCGCACCCGCACGGCUCUCUCCGCAGCCCGGCCAGCAGGGCAUCGUGCUGAGCAGUCCAGGGACCGUCGGGAUUCUUCCCCCGGGGUCUCCUGGGCAGAGGCCGUGAGCGCACCCAGGUGGCCCCUGGGUUCUUCCCGAGUCUCUCCUUUGCUUUGCUUCCUGGCUCAGGUGGGGCCACCCGAGAGGACAAGGUAGGUCUGGGCCGUGUGGGCUUGGGGACGUCACCUGACCCCUCUGAGCCCCGGUGACUUCCCUGGAGAAGGAGGAACAGGGACUUGGGCUGGGAGCACUGUGCCAGAAGCCUGGUCCACGGGCCUUCGCAGCUGCAGGGCGGAGCUCAGGGGUUCCACAGGGCAGCCCACCAGUCCUCACCACUGGUCGGGUCCUUCUGGGUGCAGAGAAUGGCGUUUGGGGACACAGGGGAGCAGGGGGACACAAGGAGGCCCCUGGACAGGAGGCAGGAGGCUUCUUCUUCAGGUGACCUGCCAGGUCCUGUGCUGGUGGUGAGGAUGGAGACAGUACUGGGGGCCUAAGGCUCAGGACAUGCCCGAGGUCCAGGGAGGACAGGCAGGGUGGUGGGCAGGGGUGUGGCAGGGACUGUGGGCCUGCAGGCUUUGGCAAUGGCGGCCCCAGGCACUCGAGCUGGCCGGCCUCUGGGCUUCGGCCCUGCACUCAGUCGGUCCAGAGGAGCUGGCAGAGCCACUGUGACCUGCCCACAACCUGCAGCUGCCCUUCUGUCCACGGCCUCACCAACUGCUCAGCCACCGGCCCUGGGUGUGCACUUCAGGCCUCUGGGCGCCAUGGUGGCCGUGGACAGCCUUGCUGCUCAUUCCACCCGUCGCCCCUCUGUCCCCAGAGGACUGCAGGGGCUCUGCCUUGAGAGCCGCUUGCUUGGGAGGCCUGUGGAGCCUGCCUGGGAAGGACAGCACAGCGGCGAGUCCAGCGCCUCCGAGUCCCCGGCCCUCAGGCGCCAGCCAGGUGCAGUGCCAGGUGCAGGCGGGGCUGCUCACUCAUGCUGGUGGCUGCCCUGGUCACUGUCCACCCCAGGGCUUCUCCGCAGGAGCCCACGUGCCUGGCGUUCAGGACCGAUUGGAGAGGUGGAGACAGGCUGUCCCCUGUCCAUCCCCACCUGAGAGUUCCCUCCACCCGACCCUCCAGCCAGCGUCCCCUCCCUGUUCCACCCUCUGCACCCCCACUCCAGCUCCCUGGGGUCACCUCCUAACUCCACCUGUCCCCAGGUCCUCCUGGGCUCCGCCUGGGCGCUCAGCCUGGGACGACCAUGCGUGGCCAGCCCGGGGGCUGGUUCCAGGGGGAAGCAGGGCCCCCGAGGAGGUCAGAGGCUCGGGUCACCCCAGGAUGGCAGGUGACAGUGCUGGGGUGACUGUCACGGAGGGCAGACCCCCUAGAGGCAAGCGGAGAGAGGCGAGGUCAGGGCGUGGUGGGCACCGCCUGCGGAGGUCUGGGCAGGGGUCACGGCACAGCCCUGAGGCUGGAUGCCAUCGCUUCUCCCGGGCUGAGGGCCUGGGAGGCCACGGGCUGCCUGAGUGGACAGAGCCCAAGGCGCGCGUCCUCCAGGAUUCUACCACUGUUUCUGCGGCCGUGGGUCACAAACCGGGUUAGGGCGACACACGGGCGGAGUGUGCGGGUGUCGGGUCCUCCUUUCCGUGCCGCCAGUGUUCUCAGGACUCCAGGAUGUGCCUGCCCAGGACUGGUCGCGACAGGAAGAAUUCUGGUGAACCGACAGCGAUCCGCUGUGGAUGUGCAGCCAGCGCCCGUCAGCUCCUCUGCAGGACUUACAGCCUCCGUGGCAGAGCCCGGGAGCCGCGGAGCCCAGCACCUCCUGUGGCCGUGGAGCUUGCCUCCGCUCCAGGCUGCAGGGGGUGGGAGUCAGGGGUCCGCGCUGAGGCCUGGUGGGAAAGAAUGAGGCUCCCUCUCUGGCUGCAGGCUGGGACUAUUUUUAGCACCUGACUGACCAGCAGGAGGCUGGGGGAGGCCUUGGCGUGGGGCCUGUGGGAUUUGAUUUCAGUGAUGCUGGAAGAGGACGCGCCCAGUGCUGCUGACCUCCUUCCUUCUCGGCUUUGAUGGACUUCUCCAUGGGAAGUGCUUUCUUGAUCCAAUUUCGUCAUUGGAAAGAUGAAAAGGAAAGUAGAACCAGAGAGGUUGUGUGCCUUGCCUGAGGCUACACAGCCAACAGCACAGCAGGAACAAGAGCUCAGGCUUGGCUCUGCCAGGCGACUCUCUGUGCAGAAAUGAGGGAGGAAACUCAAACCCAAGGUGGCUGAGCAAGAGCCACCUUUCUUCUUAGCUGAAAAUAUGAAGCGCAACAUUUGCAAGGGUAGAGGCCAGUUCAAUGACCCUUGGUCUUCUGUGGGGGCUCCUGGAGGGACCUCGUGUUGGACGUGGCACACGGAACACAUGGGGUUACUUCUCACACACACCAACCCCAGGGAAAGGAAGAAGCAAACAAGAACCGAGAGCCAGGAAAAGAGGUGGCGGGCAAGAGGCGUCCACGGAAACCUCCACGGGCACGUGCUGGCUGGCGGGCAAGUCAGCGGCUCCGGGAUCCAGCCUCCCUCUGUCCUAGCUGGCAGGACCCCAGCUGGCGUGGAGCCGUGUUCCCGAAUCACUUGUUUCCCAGCCCCUGUCCCUAAAGGUGUUCAUGCGGUGACAUCCUGCUGGAGAGCCUGGGAAAGUCCUGCCCCUGACUGGGAUGGCUCCUUGCUUCCCUGUCGUUUCUUCUCUUCCUCUGUCCACCUGGGAUGUGGAUGUGAGGCUGGAGGUGGAGCAGCUGUCUUGUGACAUGAGGUUACCAUGAAGAAGAAAGCCCGUGGUUAAGCAGAGUGACAGAAGCAGCAGGGGUGGCGAGGGCAUUGGGGGUGGCGAGGGCUUCGGCACCAUCCAGCCUGGGCUGCUCGCUCCAAGUAGCAGAAGGGAAGCGCUGUUGGUGGCUUGCUUGAAUGGAUCUGGUCCCUGCAGCCAGCAGCAGUCCACAGGUGAUGUCCUCAUGCUGCUGUCCAGUGACCGUUGAAGCAAACAGGAUCCUAAACGGUCGAGAACUUCUGCAGCUACACAACAGCUGAGGAGCCGAAGGCACCAGGAGGGGCAGGCCUGGCCCGGGAAAGUGGCCGAAAGGUGGAAAGAAACACAAACCCUGGCCCCCUUCUGUCCCUAGGUGCAAGCAGCUGCCCCACCCACUGAGGGGAACUCAGGGCUACAGAGAAAUGGGCCAGGUGGGCGCUGGACUUGGAGAAACGCACAGAGGGGGACGAAGAGGAAGCCAGCACAACCAGACAGCAGAACAGCACCGGCACUCCC